rnacentral:rRNA from 1 species
AUUGAACGCUGGCGGCAGGCCUAACACAUGCAAGUCGAACGAGUGGCGGACGGGUGAGUAAUGUCUGGGAAACUGCCUGAUGGAGGGGGAUAACUACUGGAAACGGUAGCUAAUACCGCAUACCAUCAGAUGUGCCCAGAGUGGGUUAGGUUGUUGGUUGGGUAACGGCGCACCAAGGCGACGAUCCCUAGCUGGUCUGAUCGGAUGACCAGUCACACUGGAACUUAGACAAGGUCCAGACUCCUACGGGACGCAGCAGGGGGGAAUAUUGCACAAUGGGCGCAAGCCUGAUGCAGCCAUGCCGCGUGUAUGAAGCAGGCCUUCGGGUUGUAAAGUACUUUCAGCGGGGAGGCGUUACCCGCAGAAGAAGCACCGGCUAACUCCGUGCCAGCCGCCGCGGUAAUUC